rnacentral:rRNA from 1 species
UGGCAUGGCCGUCGUCAGUUCGUACUGUGAAGCAUCCUGUUAAGUCAGGCAACGAGCGAGACCCACGCCAACAGUUGCCAGCUCGGUCCUCCCGGGGAUGGUGGGGGACACUGUUGGGACCGCCUCUGCUAAAGAGGAGGAAGGAAUGGGCAACGGUAGGUCAGCAUGCCCCGAAUUAUCUGGGCUACACGCGGGCUACAAUGGGUGGGACAAUGGGUAUCGACACCGAAAGGUGAAGGCAAUCUCCUAAACCCAUCCGUAGUUCGGAUUGUGGGCUGCAACUCGCCCACAUGAAGCUGGAAUCUGUAGUAAUCGUGUCUCAAAAUGGCACGGUGAAUAUGUCCCUGCUCCUU